rnacentral:rRNA from 1 species
UUGUCUUCUAAAUAAAGACCAGUAUGAACGGCUAAAUGAGGACAAGCCUGUCUCUUAUAACUAAUCAGUGAAACUGAUCUCCCAGUCCAAAAGCUGGGAUAACCACAUAAGACGAGAAGACCCCGUGGAGCUUAAAACAAACCACUAACCAAAAUUAAAACCCUAGUGUGCUGUUUUGAGUUGGGGCGACUUCGGAACAAAACAAAACUUCCGAGCACAGAACCACCACUUCUAGCCGAGGCCUACAAGCCCAAGCAAAAAACUGACCCGGCCCAUGCCGAUCAACGAACCAAGUUACCCCGGGGAUAACAGCGCUAUCUUCUUCAAGAGUCCCUAUCAACAAGAAGGUUUACGACCUCGAUGUUGGAUCAGGACACCCAAAUGGUGCAGCCGCUAUUAAAGGUUCGUUUGUUCAACGAUU